UGGAGAGUUUGAUCCUGGCUCAGAUUGAACGCUGGCGGCAGGCCUAACACAUGCAAGUCGAACGGUAACAGGAAGCAGCUUGCUGCUCUGCUGACGAGUGGCGGACGGGUGAGUAAUGUCUGGGAAACUGCCUGAUGGAGGGGGAUAACUACUGGAAACGGUAGCUAAUACCGCAUAACGUCUGCGGACCAAAGUGGGGGACCUUCGGGCCUCAUGCCAUCAGAUGUGCCCAGAUGGGAUUAGCUAGUAGGUGGGGUAACGGCUCACCUAGGCGACGAUCCCUAGCUGGUCUGAGAGGAUGACCAGCCACACUGGAACUGAGACACGGUCCAGACUCCUACGGGAGGCAGCAGUGGGGAAUAUUGCACAAUGGGCGCAAGCCUGAUGCAGCCAUGCCGCGUGUAUGAAGAAGGCCUUCGGGUUGUAAAGUACUUUCAGCGGGGAGGAAGGUGUUGUGGUUAAUAACCACAGCAAUUGACGUUACCCGCAGAAGAAGCACCGGCUAACUCCGUGCCAGCAGCCGCGGUA
rnacentral:rRNA from 1 species